AUAAAACGUCAUGAUGCUUUAUCAGUUUUCUAUAAGUCAACCUCCAGCUUGACAAGGUCCCUGAUCUGGUCUCUGUUGAAUUAUUACUCAAAGUUAUCUUUCCCAAGAGAGUCAGAUGGCCGUUGGGUGAGUUUGAUGGAUAAUAGGCUAGCAUGAUAUUAAUAGAUGACACAAUCUCUUUUUUCUUUUUGUUGUUUUUGGUUUUUAUUUUGUUUUGUUGGGGUUUUUUUGGUCAUACUUUCCUAGUCUGGGAUCAUUUUUCCUGAAUGGGAUCAAAUAAAGAUAUAUGUGAAAGACCCCAAUGCAGUGUUUUAAUCAUAAUAAAUACUCAGAUGUUCCCUUUCCCCACAUGCCUGCAUGGACUUACCCAGAUAAGCUUUCAGUUUCAAACUUGUCAUUAGUUUCACUGUGUUUGCUUGCUUUUUGUAAUAUUUUUUAAAGAUUUGAAAACCUUCAGUAAAUGUUUUGGCACUAUUGGUGUUUGAUGUUGUGUGUAUUCUUUACUGGGAACUCAACGGUACAUAGGUCAACUGAAUUUUUUCAGUUUUUUUUUUUUCCCCUCUCCUUUACGUGUCUGAGGAAAAUGUAUAUUAUUCUUAGGAGCAGAGUCAAGAAUCAAAUGAACUGAUGAUUGGACCUCUGUGUUAGGAAUGGGAAAGACUAGGAAUGGUCCAAGUUGGCAAGUUCAGUUCAAAUUAAAUGAGGCUGUUUAAAAACAGAUACUGUGGGUGAUUGUGAGAGAAACACAUGAUCAGUUUACUUUGGCCCCAUGAGGCCCAGAUAAGCUGCCACACCCAUUACAAGAUCAUUCAAUUCCAAGUGCCGGGCAUGUUACAUAAAUGUUAUCAGAUUAUUUGAAAAAAAUUUUUUCUAGGUUCGGGACUGAAGUUGGUAACCUUGUGUUUUAUAAAAAGUCUCAGUCCCAAGUUUUGAGCUCUUAUAGGCCGUUGAAAAUCAUAUUUCCUUGACUUAGAUCUGCUAUCUUUGUGUCCCUCCUCUGCCUACAGGUAUACGUACCUAUGAAGGAAAGAAGAGAGAGGGUUGAAGAAAACAAGAGCCAUAAAGCAAGAGAGGAAGAAAGGAGUGAAGGGAAGGAGGGAGGAAGAGAGAACAGGGUUUCCAGUUAUAUCCCUCUUCAGGUAUAGAGAAACAACGUGCGCUAUUUAUGCCCAGCAAGAGGGCCAUUUUAGUCAUCUCUACCUUGUCCCUGGGCUUAGAGGGGAUUCUUUGGGCCUCUGCUUCCUUAGGAUUCAAGUUUCAGGUGUACAAUAUAUGCUUCAACGGUUCUAUGCAUAACUCAGAGCUCAUCAUGGUGAGUGUACUCCUAAUCCCCAUCACCUGUUUCACCCGUUCUCCCUCCCACCUAAUAUGGUAACCUCCCACCUCCCUCUGGUAACCAUCGGUUUGUUUCUAGUUAAGAGUCUGUUGUAUGGUUUGUCUCA